UGGGUUGUGGCUCAGUGGUAGAGCGCUUGCCUAGCAUGUGUGAGGCCCUGGGUUCGAACCUCAGCACCACAU
rnacentral:tRNA from 1 species